UACGAAGGGGGCUAGCGUUGUUCGGAUUUACUGGGCGUAAAGCGCACGUAGGCGGAUCGUUAAGUCAGGGGUGAAAUCCUGGGGCUCAACCCCAGAACUGCCUUUGAUACUGGCGAUCUCGAGUCCGGAAGAGGUGAGUGGAACUCCUAGUGUAGAGGUGGAAUUCGUAGAUAUUAGGAAGAACACCAGUGGCGAAGGCGGCUCACUGGACUGGUAUUGACGCUGAGGUGCGAAAGCGUGGGGAGCAAACAGG
rnacentral:rRNA from 1 species